UCACUUACAUAACUCAUUCCCGUCACAUUGACUCUCAUAUAUAUUUCACCGAAAUUUUUUUUUGUUUUAAAAUAUAUAUAUUACCAACAAUGGCCACUUACACAUUAUAUGGUCGGUUUCAAUUAUUCAUAUUCUACUGAUUAUAAAAAAAAAAAACACAAACAUGCCACUAGUGUUUCUCACGCAACCAACCAUAUGUUCAUAAAAAAAUAAAAAUAAAAACCAAUAACAAAUAUGCAAUCAGUGACUCUCACACAGCCGACUAUAUAUUCAUCCCAUUGAUAAAAGAAUAAAUAAACAAAAUGAUAUCAUUAACAACCCACACAAUUGGUAUGAUUCCAUAGCAAAUUGGUAUUCUUGAUUCUAAUAAGAUAAAGAGCACUUGCUUCCAACCCGACUGCACCUCCUCUCUUCAGCAACCGAAUCUGCUGUCCAAAGAACCCAGCUGCCCUCCAAGAUCUGUGCGUGUUAUAGCGAGUCUUAUCGUGCGUGCUGGAAUGAUUUAUUCCUUGCUUCAAGAAUGGUGCGGCUGGUUCCCUCUUCAAAGCAGUGUAAAAUUCCUUUCAGAUCAAUGCAUGGAGGCUGUUUCAAAAUCCAAAGGUGCAGCUGUUUUCUUCUCCAAAGUGGCGGGCUGUUGGAGAUGUGUGGGGUCUUUGUUAGAUAAAUAUCUCUAAUAAUAAUUACGAGUAAUAAAAUGAAAAUCCAAGAUCAUACCUCUAGUCAUGACAAUUAGAUUCACACAAAAUAGGGAUUAGUUGGCUAGCCCUUACAAGACCUUAUGUCCAUGCACCGAUGGAACUCACAGACUUAUUCUGUAGAUCAGAAACCCUUCUUCCCUCUUCUGGAAUUAAUCUUGUAUCUCCCUAUUUAUUUUCUCUUCUUCCCAUCAAAGAAGACUUCGGGUGGCUUUCAACCGAGUAAUAUGUCCCUAGACAUGGGUGGUUACUCCAUAAGAGAUGUGCCCCACGUUUCAUUUAUUUUAGGGAAAAUAAUAUUUAAAUGGGCCACAAUUUAAAAUAUUUUUUUAUUUUAUUAAAAAUACAAAACUGUUUCCAAC
rnacentral:lncRNA from 1 species